UACGUAGGGUCCAAGCGUUAAUCGGAUUUAUUGGGCGUAAAGGGCGCGUAGGCGGGAAGAAAAGUCAGAUGUGAAAUCCUGGGGCUCAACCUCAGAACAGCAUUUGAAACUCUCUUUCUAGAGGGUAGGCGGAGAAAACAGAAUUCCACAAGUAGCGGUGAAAUGCGUAGAUAUGUGGAAGAAUACCGGUGGCGAAGGCGGUUUUCUAGCUUAUUCCUGACGCUGAGGCGCGAAAGCAAGGGGAUCAAACAGG
rnacentral:rRNA from 1 species